GACGAACGCUGGCGGCGUGCCUAAUACAUGCAAGUCGAGCGGACUUUCAGGAGUUCUUGCACUCCGGAAGGGUAGCGGCGGACGGGCGGGUAAUACGUUGGGAACCUGCCCAUAAGAGGGGGGUAACAUUCGGAAACGAAUGCUAAAACAGAGUAUACGGACUUCUGGCUUGAGGGGAUCGGGAAAGGCGGGUCAGUCGGCUGCAAAUGGAUGAGGCUGCGGCGCAUUAGCUGGUCGGUGGGGUAACGGACUACCACGGCGGCGAUGCUUAGCCGACCUGAGAGGGUGGACGGCCAGACUGGGAGUGAGGCACGGCCCAGACUCCUGGGGGAGGCAGCAGUAGGGAAUCCUACGCGAGGGAGGAAAGUGGGACGGUGCAACGCCGCGGGAGGGAGGAUGGCCUUCGGGUGGGAGAGCGCUGUUGCCAUGAGAGAUCGAGUGGGGGAGUACCCGCGCUGGUAAUGACGGUACCUGGGAAAAAAGCCCCGGCUAACUACGUG
rnacentral:rRNA from 1 species